UUUGCCCUCUAACCUAUGAACCCACUAACUCCCCACCCACCUCUCUCUCUCUCUCUCUCUCUCUUUUUUUUCAAGACAGGGUUUCUCUGUGUAGCCCUGGCUGUCCUGGAACUCACUCUGUAGACCAGAAUGGCCUUGGACUCAGAAAUCCACCUGCCUCUGCCUCCUGAGUGCUGUGAUAAAAGGUGUGCGCCACCACUGCCCGGUUAACCUCACUCACUUGUUGAGGUGGCCUCUCUAUUCCCGCUGGCACCUUUCAGGUAUGUUUUUCUGAUUAUGUUACUGGUUGCUCCUUUACCAGGUAGGGAGGUGGGGUAUGACCAUUUGCCGCAGAGAAGGAAAGUCUGACAGAGGAGUCCGGUGUGUGACGCUGACUCCCAGAGCACCUCUUCCCUAGGGUUAGGUGAGGGCGAAGGAGAGAUUGGGUGGCAGAUGGAUGGUGAAGAGCAAAAGCAGCAGAGAGAAGGCUAGGAGCUUAGAUGAGCCCAGGGAGGGGGUGAGGUGGAAAGUGGGGAAAUGUUGAAACACAUUAGAACAAAGUAGUGGGCCAAAGAUAUGUAGGGGCAUAAAACAGCUCCUGGCCACUGGGAGUGUGGAAAGGGGCCUAGGCAAGGCAAGGUCCCUUUAUUGUGACACGGAGUUUAUUAAGUACAGAUAAAAUACUCUUUUGAGAUGUAAGUGCAGGGGUGUGUGUGUAUGGGGGGAAUGGAAUAGGUCCCUUGUUUAAAUGGCUUACUUCUUAUGGCUACCUUCCCCCAUUCCGUAAGGCACAUGCAUAAAUACUUAUUUGACUUGAGGUUUAAGCUGUGUAUGUUUGGGUCCCUGGGUGAAGCAGCACUAUAGUGACCUCUGCUGGCACUAGGCCCUGGUGCUGACCCCUCUCUGCCCUUCCUCCCAGCGGGCUGAGGUCUCUGGCUGGAGCCAAGGACAGAGCUUGCAGGCUAAAUUGUGGGUCACCUGGCAUGCUGAUCCCUCUAGUUCUCUAAAUCCCUGUCGUGAGGAAGAGGAAGAGAGUGUCCUGCCCCUGUUCCACCUUCAGUCACUCCUCAGGAUGCUGUGAUCACGUACUAUGAAGAUUCAAGGGGUUGGUUAAUUCUAGUGAUUUGAAUUUCAUGCGAUACUAUGCAACUUACAGAAAGCAUGAAGCUGAUUUGUAUGCACAGACGUGGGAGAAGUAUCGGGGACAAACGGAGUGACAGAAAUGAGCUGCAGCACAGCAUGUCUAAUAGGAUGCAGCGUGUGCGCAUGCGUGUGCCUGAGGCCAGGCUGGGGAAGGUUGUCCGCGGAGCUCUGGAGACAAGAAUGACUUGGGGUGGGGAAGCUGUUUGGAAGUUUUAAAAAAAUGUACUCUCCGUAUCGUUUUUC
rnacentral:lncRNA from 1 species